CAGCCGCCGCGGUAAUACGAAGGGGGCUAGCGUUGUUCGGAUUUACUGGGCGUAAAGCGCACGUAGGCGGAUCGAUCAGUCAGGGGUGAAAUCCCAGAGCUCAACUCUGGAACUGCCUUUGAUACUGUCGAUCUGGAGUAUGGAAGAGGUGAGUGGAAUUCCGAGUGUAGAGGUGAAAUUCGUAGAUAUUCGGAGGAACGCCAGUGGCGAAGGCGGCUCACUGGUCCAUUACUGACGCUGAGGUGCGAAAGCGUGGGGAGCAAACAGGAUUAGAUACCCCAGUAGUCCCUGUCUCUUAUAC
rnacentral:rRNA from 1 species